rnacentral:sRNA from 1 species
UUGGUAGCCCCAGGCGCUGUACUCUCUAUUUAUCCCCAGAGCAGGUACAGCAGGAUGGCAGGCUAUCACAGAGAUGCCAAGCCCUGCCACAAUUCCUCCCGUCCAGGGACCUGGUGAGAAGAGGGUGGUGAAGUCUCAGUGCUGUGACUGCCCACACGAGGGCCAGU